CAAAACUGGGCUUGUCAAGUAAACACUCUCUGAUGUCAGAUGUGAACAACAAGUCAUUAAUACUAAAAUGCAUGUUAUUAUUAUUAUUUAUUAUUUAUAAUCAUUUCUCCUGCUCGUAUGUAUGUUUCACUCUUCCACUUCUUCGGCGGCUUUUCCUCCACUUGCCUGCACGUAAAUCUUGAGCUAAGUCUCUUUGCGUUCUUAGAUCGUCCGCACUCUAAUUGUCUCGUCUGUGCUGUUGGUGCAACGCCGCCCUGCUCUCUCCCAUUGCAUUGGGUUGAGAGACGUUCAAGGACCCAUCCACCCGUAGACGUUGAGGCUUCAAGGAACAAAUGUGGAGCCCGUUCCGGUGCGAGGGAACGUAGAGAGUUAAGCGAUGGCCAGAGUCGUUAGGGAGAAUGACGGUCUGGGUGACAUUUUGCAGAAUUCCAUCCAAUAGUUCUGAGGAUAUUUCAGUCUGGCCCCAAAAUGAUGGCUGGAGUGAAAUAGAGGACAGAUUGCCACCAGCACAGCGAAAAUAACCCAGACGUCCCUACUUUGCUUUGAAAUCACGACUCUUCUAUUGAAAACGCGCGGAAUAUAAAUUGGCUGGAAACAUAACUGUUCACGCUGUUACACGUCGGUUUCUGCCUUAAGGGAGAGACAGACUACGUGUCAGAAUAACAGAAGAAACCGUUCGUUUCGUUUGAACCGCACUGUAUUUUUAAAGCCGUCUUUUAGACGAUGAGUCACAGACGCGCAGACAGAUUAUGGGAUGGAAUCGAUCAAACGAUCGACGAUCUUAUUGUUUGGGGGGAAAACGCGCGCGCGCGCCUCACAAGUCUGUCCCUUCGAGCCCCGUGCGACGUCAUACUGGGAGCGGCUCCAAUUGAAACUUCAAAUCCAUCUUUUCCCUUUGGUUUCUAAUUAGCAGCUAACAGAUGAUGCGUCCCGGAGACAGAAGGCGCAGCGCGUGGCGCGGUGCACAGCAAAGCCUCUGGUGACUGAGAUCCACCCCUUCUGCCACCCACUUCUCAUGAUUUCCAGAUUUUUCAGGUUCCACUAAAACGCCCAUCAGCAGUUGCGGGAGGCUCUUUCCUCUCAAAGUACAAAAGCAAACAUUAUGCUGGUGGAAUAUGAGCAGAGGAGGAAACCAAAGAGGUUAUUGAUGACAAGAAGCAAGCGAGGCCCGUUUUGAGACAUGUGAGGCUUUUUGAGGCUUUACCUCAGUGCAUGGAUCCAAGAGUCUCAGUCCAGCAGCAGCACCUGGCUGAUGAUACAGAAAUGAGAUUGACAUAGUAACUAUGAGUAAAGCAGUAAGACACAAGUCCCUUUCUAUCAUACUCACAUUUAUAACCACGUGCCACAUGCCUGUUUAGGAAACAUAUACAGACACAUUAAAAAUGUUGCAUGUAGCGAUAGUGUCAUAGUCUUGUAUGCGGUGACACUUUUUUCACCACAUACUAUAACACUAUUUUCAAUUACAUACUAAAAAUAAAGGAGGAAACCAGUUAAGUGCUAUAAGUUUAUGAACACAAUACUAGGCAUGCAAUUGCAAUCAAGUUAUUGUGUUUUUUACUAUGAUGCUUUUUUUACCACACACUAUACUAUGAAACUUUUUUAUCACGUUAUACUAUUAAACUUUUUUAUCACAUACGAUACUAUGAUACUUGUUUUAACCAUAUCCUAUAUUAUGACCUUUUUUAACCAUAUACUAUGCACUUUUUUAUUAAAUGUGUUUACGUUCUCUUCCUCCUGGUGGAAUUAAUGCACCAAAUCCAGGCAGUAGCGGGUCCUUUACGCUGAGACCCGCAGAGAUAAAGAUAUUCCAAUGAAAGAAUUCCGCUGUCCACAAGGUUGCGCUAAUGCACAUGAUGCCAUUUGCUGGGCAGCAGCGGCAAAAUCAUUACAGGUGC